AUCCUUUUGUAGUGCAUGAGUGUGAUGACUGGGUGUUCAUGGGCAUGUGUGAGAUGUGCCACCCUUGAACCUUCUUACAAUGUUGCUACAUUACCAUUCUGAGA
ensembl:snoRNA